GCUCCUCUGCCGGUUUCUUGGUAGCCUUGCUGACUCAGGAACUCACCAGGGGCCAUCCGGCAGGGAGGAGGAGUAGAGGUGCAGGUGGAGGCACCCAGAAGAUGGAAAACAAAUCUGGGAAGGCGAAGCCACGAAACUCAGAUUUGCCUAUUGGAUGUGACAGGGCUGCUCAGAGAGGCCUCGCUGUGUCUGCUCUUGGACCUACUCGUGAUUCAAGGCUGUGUCUCCUCUUUGCACAUAAGACAGUUUAGGGCUAUGACUGAAUACCAGAUGGGAAGAGGAUCAUAAGUUUCUGUUAUAUCUGGAUCUAGAUCAACA